CGCGGGGUGGAGCAGCUCGGUAGCUCGCUGGGCUCAUAACCCAGAGGUCGCAGGGUUCGAAUCCUGUCCCCGCUACCA
rnacentral:tRNA from 1 species